AACGAACGCUGGCGGCAGGCUUAACACAUGCAAGUCGAACGCCCCGCAAGGGGAGUGGCAGACGGGUGAGUAACGCGUGGGAACGUGCCCUUCGCUUCGGAAUAGCCCCGGGGAACUGGGAGUAAUACCGGAUACGCCGUAUUGGGAAAGAUUUAUCGGCGAAGGAUCGGCCCGCGUUUGAUUAGCUAGUUGGCGGUGUAAUGGACCACCAAGGCUACGGUCUAUAGCUGGUCUGAGAGGAUGAUCAGCCACACUGGGACUGGGACACGGCCCAGAUUCCUACGGGGGGCAGGAGUGGGGAAGCUUGGACAAUGGGCGCAAGCCUGUGACAGCCAUGCCGCGUGAGUGAAGAAGGCCUUAGGGAUGUAAAACUCUUUCGCCGGAGAAGAUAAUGACGGUAUCCGGAGAAGAAGCCCCGGCUAACUUCGUGCCAGCCGCCGCCGUAACAC
rnacentral:rRNA from 1 species